UUAAAUUGAAGAGUUUGAUCAUGGCUCAGAUUGAACGCUGGCGGCAGGCCUAACACAUGCAAGUCGAACGGUAACAGGAAGCAGCUUGCUGCUUUGCUGACGAGUGGCGGACGGGUGAGUAAUGUCUGGGAAACUGCCUGAUGGAGGGGGAUAACUACUGGAAACGGUGGCUAAUACCGCAUAACGUCGCAAGACCAAAGAGGGGGACCUUCGGGCCUCUUGCCAUCAGAUGUGCCCAGAUGGGAUUAGCUAGUUGGUGAGGUAACGGCUCACCAAGGCGACGAUCCCUAGCUGGUCUGAGAGGAUGACCAGCCACACUGGAACUGAGACACGGUCCAGACUCCUACGGGAGGCAGCAGUGGGGAAUAUUGCACAAUGGGCGCAAGCCUGAUGCAGCCAUGCCGCGUGUAUGAAGAAGGCCUUCGGGUUGUAAAGUACUUUCAGCGGGGAGGAAGGUGUUGUGGUUAAUAACCACAGCAAUUGACGUUACCCGCAGAAGAAGCACCGGCUAACUCCGUGCCAGCAGCCGCGGUAAUACGGAGGGUGCAAGCGUUAAUCGGAAUUACUGGGCGUAAAGCGCACGCAGGCGGUCUGUCAAGUCGGAUGUGAAAUCCCCGGGCUCAACCUGGGAACUGCAUUCGAAACUGGCAGGCUUGAGUCUUGUAGAGGGGGGUAGAAUUCCAGGUGUAGCGGUGAAAUGCGUAGAGAUCUGGAGGAAUACCGGUGGCGAAGGCGGCCCCCUGGACAAAGACUGACGCUCAGGUGCGAAAGCGUGGGGAGCAAACAGGAUUAGAUACCCUGGUAGUCCACGCCGUAAACGAUGUCUACUUGGAGGUUGUGCCCUUGAGGCGUGGCUUCCGGAGCUAACGCGUUAAGUAGACCGCCUGGGGAGUACGGCCGCAAGGUUAAAACUCAAAUGAAUUGACGGGGGCCCGCACAAGCGGUGGAGCAUGUGGUUUAAUUCGAUGCAACGCGAAGAACCUUACCUGGUCUUGACAUCCACAGAACUUUCCAGAGAUGGAUUGGUGCCUUCGGGAACUGUGAGACAGGUGCUGCAUGGCUGUCGUCAGCUCGUGUUGUGAAAUGUUGGGUUAAGUCCCGCAACGAGCGCAACCCUUAUCCUUUGUUGCCAGCGAUUAGGUCGGGAACUCAAAGGAGACUGCCAGUGAUAAACUGGAGGAAGGUGGGGAUGACGUCAAGUCAUCAUGGCCCUUACGACCAGGGCUACACACGUGCUACAAUGGCGCAUACAAAGAGAAGCGACCUCGCGAGAGCAAGCGGACCUCAUAAAGUGCGUCGUAGUCCGGAUUGGAGUCUGCAACUCGACUCCAUGAAGUCGGAAUCGCUAGUAAUCGUGGAUCAGAAUGCCACGGUGAAUACGUUCCCGGGCCUUGUACACACCGCCCGUCACACCAUGGGAGUGGGUUGCAAAAGAAGUAGGUAGCUUAACCUUCGGGAGGGCGCUUACCACUUUGUGAUUCAUGACUGGGGUGAAGUCGUAACAAGGUAACCGUAGGGGAACCUGCGGUUGGAUCACCUCCUUACCUUAAAGAAGC
rnacentral:rRNA from 1 species